rnacentral:rRNA from 1 species
GACGAACGCUGGCGGCGUGCCUAAUACAUGCAAGUUGAGCGAUGAAGAUUGGUGCUUGCACCAAUUUGAAGAGCAGCGAACGGGUGAGUAACGCGUGGGGAAUCUGCCUUUGAGCGGGGGACAACAUUUGGAAACGAAUGCUAAUACCGCAUAACAACUUUAAACAUAAGUUUUAAGUUUGAAAGAUGCAAUUGCAUCACUCAAAGAUGAUCCCGCGUUGUAUUAGCUAGUUGGUGAGGUAAAGGCUCACCAAGGCGAUGAUACAUAGCCGACCUGAGAGGGUGAUCGGCCACAUUGGGACUGAGACACGGCCCAAACUCCUACGGGAGGCAGCAGUAGGGAAUCUUCGGCAAUGGACGAAAGUCUGAACGAGCAACGCCGCGUGAGUGGAGAAGGUUUUCGGAUCGUAAAACUCUGUUGGUAGAGAAGAACGUUGGUGAGAGUGGAAAGCUCAUCAAGUGACGGUAACUACCCAGAAAGGGACGGCUAACUACGUG